GCCUGAUCGGUUCGCCGGCGCCCGGUUCCCAACCUCCGGCCUCCCGGGGAGACCCCAAGACCCGAGAGGCCCGGGGGAGAUGGGGACCCCUCCCUUCCCCGGAGGUCGGGAGUGGGGGCCCCCAAACUGAAGCCCCUAGCAGGCAGGAAAGGCCCUCACAGUGACCCCUCCUUCGAGAAAAUCUUAAGUCCCCCUUCAACAACCGGGUCCCCAGUGGCAGAUAACAAAAGUAUCAGGAAGGUGCCCUCGAUGUGGCCCAGAGCAAUCAAGACAGGUUCCCCCCGGCAUCAGCCCUUAGGUGUGUCUAGGGGGUUAAUGCUAGAAAGACCAGACAAAAAAGGUGGGGUAAAAAGGUAGGUGUCCCCUUUCAGUUCCCCUUUCUAGCUCAGAGGCCUUUAAGCCAGAGUUCGUGAAUGAGUUUCAGAAAAUUUCAGAGAACUCCCUGACACGGGAUGAAAGGAGCUGUGUGUGUGCAUUUGGAUGGCUGCAGGGUGGUCCGGUGGUCACCCCCGUGCUCAAAGGUGUCGCCCUCCCUGCAACACAAGAGAACCAUUGCUCCAGGGGGAGUCAGAAGCCAGGAAGGGGACCCUUCUUUCCCAUCUUCCCCCUCAAGACUCGGAGCCUCAGCCAGGACGUGGUGGUAUGCGCCUGUAGUCCCAGCUACUUGGGAGGCUUAGGUGGGAGAAUCGCUUGAAGCCAGGAGGUGGCGGCUACAGUGAGCUGUGAUUGCACCACUGCACUCCAGCGUGGACGACACAACAAGAUCUUGUCUGAAAUCCACAGCUUUACUGGGGCUGGGACCUUGUCUGGCCUGUCCAACAGAGACUCUCCAUCACCCGGCACAGACACACAAAAGCCGAGGGCCCCUUCCUGAGAUGCCUGCCUCAGCCCGGUAGUGAAACUGAACCCACCUCAGACGGGAAAGGCUUGGCGGGCUCUGCUUGGUGGGAAGUCCACAGUGGUGCCUCGUCCCUGAGAUGAGAAUCAUCACCUCCGCUUUACAAAUGAGAUGACCAAGGGUCAGAGAGGAGAAAGGACCUCCCCCCAGCCCUGAGUCACCUGCCUGGAGACUGAGGGAGCCAUAAUGCGAAUCUUCCCCUUGCCAAACCCACUGACUCCAUUACGCUGCCUCCAGAGAACCCGAGCCCCGCGGCGAGAAAGUGGUAGAGCUGGGCCUCGAACCUGGGUCCUGGACUCUUGGUCCUGUGCUCCUUGUGGAAGAUGGAACUGCUUCUUCAGAGACAAGGUCUCAUUGUAUUGCCCGGGCUGUUCUAACUCCUGGGCUCAAGCGAUCCUCCGGCCUCAGCCUCCUAAAGUGAUGGGAUUACAGUCAUGAGUCACCAUGCUUGGCCUGGGCAGGACUUUCUCAAGUGGAACUGCCUCACACACAGACUCCCUGGAGCUGGCAGGAUGAAGCCCAUGAACCUUGGCCUGGCUUGCUAAACCCUCCCUCCCGACUCCCUCAGGAGUUCGAGUCUGCCUUCUUUCUCCGGCUGGCUCCUCAGCUUAACGCGCUUUCCUCCAGGCAGCUCUCUCGGGCUUCGCAGUGACCCUUCCUCGGUGCUCCGCGGCAGCAUGCUUCUGGCAUCUCAUCCCAACACAGUGAAGAGCAGCCAAGUGCGGCUGUGUGGCCCUGACCAAGUCAUUUCACUUCAAUUUUAUGCUUUGGCUUUCACAUCUUUCCACGGACGUGAAUGGAGAUGAUCAUGGUGCCGACCCCAAAGGAUCCUUACACGUCUUAAAAAAGUGAGCCACGGAAAGGCCUCAGCCCAGUGCCUAGCAGAGAAGCAGCACAUGGGAGGGAAGGAACGACCAGAGAAGACCCGUGGUGUGCCAGGCACUAGACCUGGGGCUCGGUGGCACAUGUCAGCUCCUUGCAAGUGUGAAACAACUGGAGUGCAGCGAGCAUCAGUAACUCACCCUAAGUCACACAUCUGGUAAACAGCAAAGCCUGGAUUUGAACCCAGGUUUUCCCAUGACAUCAGAUAAGACGGCAAUCACCACCUCCUUCUAACCCACCCUGCCUCACCUGCUCCAUCCUUACGACUUCAGGUGUCACCUCCCAGCUGGGUUUAAGGGGCUGAGUUGUCCACUCUGAUCUUCUCCAAGCACAAACUGCAAAGCAGACCAGAAAGCAGCUGGUCCUGACUCCAGGGCUACCCACAGAUGCCCCUGCACCUCCUCAUGCUCCUGUGCUCCUGUGUGAUGUCCUGGACUGUGUGAUGACCAGGCUGGGGAAGUCCCAAUCUGAAGAGACCAAGCGCUCUCUGACAAUGUGCUGAUCUAAUCACGUACAACUUAAGACAAAGUUAACCCGUCUCAUUGAAUGAUAUGGUAUAAUGGUGAUGACUGAGCUGCCCAGUAAUUGUGCUCAACCAGGAAGCAGCUCAUGGAGUCAGUUGUAAUUAGUAUUUGUGUUACACAGGUGAGAAAACAGGCUCAGAGAAGUCCAUUCACUUGUCCAAGAUCAGACAGCUAGAAAAUGACAGAGCCAGGGUUCCCUCUUCAGCCCAGGCGAUGUCUUGGACAGCAGAAGGAACAGGAAUAGGGCUGGGAGGCUGGAGAUCCACAUCUCGGUCCCAGUUCUAACACUGCCUUACCCUGGGCCUCAGCAAGUAGCAUCCCUCUUCAGGAUACAAAGAGAUAGUAUGUCUGUCAGGUUGCAGACGGCUGAGGGUGUGGACUUGGGAGCUAGGCUCCUUGGAUUCUAAUCCUUGGGCAAGCUACUUCACCAUCUGAGCCUCAGUGUCCUCAUCUGUAAAAUGGAGAUGACAACAGUGUCUCCCUCAUAGGCUUGUGAAGAUAAAACGAGUAACAAGACUUAGAACAAUGCCUGAAUAUUAUUGUCAUUUAUGGGGAAAAAAUGAGCUUUGCUGUCCAUUUUUCAUCUGUAAAAUGGGGAAGUAGUUGCUGGAUCUGAACAGUGGUUUGCAAACAGAUUUUUUUUCAUUCCAUAGAGUCCUUUAUUUAAAAAACUAAACACAGCAACCCAAAAUACAAAAGAGAUGUAAGUGGAGCUGCCACUUAGGCACUCAAUGAGCUCAUAUCCUGACCCUGAACCCAGCUCCCUCAGGGGUUCUAAGGAAUGGAGUUUGAAAAAUCACUCAACUGUCUCUGAGAACUGGUGGCUCUAAGCUGAGAUCAGGGUCGGGUGGAAGCAGGAAACCAUGGCAUGGGCCAGGAUGCUGCUCACCCACUGGAGGCAGCACAUGGGGGCUGUGGGACACGCAGGGUUCCCUGCUGCUGGCCUGCUGGCUGCCACCAUUCCAGCUGGACAACAGUAUCCCCAGGAGGCGGCUGAGAAGCAGGGAGAAGAACACCAGGCUUGGAGUCAGGUGGGUGGCUCUGGGCAGGUCGUGUCCCUCUCUGGGGCCCAUUUUCCUCACCUCUAAGAGAGGGAUGGUAACACUGCACUCAUCAGGGGUCCUAAGGACAAAAUUGCAUCACACAUGUGAAAAGGCUUUGCAACGGAAAGACUGCCCUGAAUGACUUUUUUUUUUUUGAGACAGAGUCUUGCUCUGUUGCCCUAGCUGGAGUGUAGUAGUGCAAACUCAGCUCACUCCAACCUCCG
rnacentral:lncRNA from 1 species